rnacentral:lncRNA from 1 species
AUCUAGAUGCAUAGACACAUGAUCGCUCGGGACUUAGAGAGUGCGCUAGAUUUUCUGAAGAUUCUUUUAGUUAUUAGCAUUUUAGUUAAACUAGUUAGAAUAUUUGAUUUAUAUUAACACAUGUUACUUUGAAACUAUUGCAAGAACUAUUUGAAUAAAUUAAUAUUUAAAUAAAUUUUAAGGAUUUGUCAUUAUUUUGAUAUGAUCUGCAAUCUUGCCUGUCUGUAUGGUUCGCUGUGUAGACGUGCGGCAUCUGCUGUGUUCUGGGAUCGGGGCAUGAAAUGAUCUGCAGGAAAGAAAAUUUGAACAAAUGGUCUACCUCCUAGUGACUAACACCAUUCUUAGCUCGGUCACAAAUCUAAUCAACCUAGGAAGGGUUGGUGUAUGUAAUUUCAUAGAUCCAAGCAACCCAUAUCUAGGUAGACGGGGACUCACAAUCUGUC